UACGUAGGGUGCGAGCGUUGUCCGGAAUUAUUGGGCGUAAAGGGCUCGUAGGCGGUUUGUCGCGUCGGGAGUGAAAACCAUGGGCUUAACUCAUGGCUUGCUUCCGAUACGGGCAGACUAGAGGUAUGCAGGGGAGAACGGAAUUCCUGGUGUAGCGGUGAAAUGCGCAGAUAUCAGGAGGAACGACCGGUGGCGAAGGCGGUUCUCUGGGCAUUACCUGACGCUGAGGAGCGAAAGUGUGGGGAGCGAACAGG
rnacentral:rRNA from 1 species